rnacentral:rRNA from 1 species
CAUGGCUCAGGAUGAACGCUAGCGAUAGGCUUAACACAUGCAAGUCGAGGGGCAGCAUGGUCUUAGCUUGCUAAGACUGAUGGCGACCGGCGCACGGGUGCGUAAAGCGUAUGCAACUUGGCUCACAGAGGGGGAUAACCCGUCGAAAGACGGACUAAUACCGCGUACAGUUAGGAUAGGGCAUCCUAUCCCAAGGAAAUGAAAGUCGCUGUGAGAUAGGCAUGCGUACCAUUAGCUAGUUGGUGGGGUAACGGCUCACCAAGGCGACGAUGGGUAGGGGAACUGAGAGGUUGAACGCCCACACUGGUACUGAGACACGGACCAGACUCCUACGG